UUUUAAUUUUUAUGAAAUCUCGGGCAGCUGCUUACUCAACGUUAUUUUUAGAGUGUGAGAAGAGAGCUCCACGUUUGCGUGAACUCCUGCGAUGUGUGUUGGGUCACUGGGAUGUGGGACACGGCGCAGCCCUGCUGCCUCAACUCUGCAUCUGCGCCCCGUGCCCCUCAAACCCACUCCGUGCAAUGGGGUGGGCCCAUGAGGUCCUUCUUGUUCCCCCACCUGAAAAUCAUAUAAUCAUUAAGGUUCAAAAGACGAAUAAGAUCAUCUAGUCUAACUGUCAACCCAUGCCUGUGACCUCUCUAGGCCAUGUCCAUCGGUGCCACAUCUCCAUGGUUCUUGAACCCCUCCAGGGAUGGUGACUCCACCACCGCCCUGGGCAGCUUCACCGCUCUUCCUGAGAAGAAAUUUCUCCUAAUAUCCAACCAAAAAUGGUGGAACCCAUGGAAAUGGCUAAGAAUGAAGGGGAAGUUGGGGAGCUGGGUAAUGUCCAGCAUCCGAUGGGUGCGCAAAGCACAGGGAGGUGUUCCAAGAGGAGGAAACCUGGGACAGCUUCAGAGCACGGAAGGGAAAAGCCCUGUGGCUGAUCCCAGCCCAGCAGCCGACCCUGAGCUCCAGGAUGAAUGAGUGCCUCGGGGAGCUGAGAAAUGAGACAACACAGUGAGAAGAGGACAGUGAGUGCAGACACUGCCAGUACCGAACCUUUGGAAUUCACUGCUGCACGACGGAUAGCCAACGACUCGUGGUGAUGUGCUCUAGCAGAAGGAAAAUCAAAGUGCCCUUUUAUAACUGUUCAGAUAUAAAGUGAAGGGCAUCCAGCCCCCUGACACCAGCAUGGAGAAUGAUGUGUGGGAGGGACUGUGGGAAAUGACCUCACCAUGCACGGCCAUGCCCACUGGCCGUGUUUCCAUCACACAGGGCACAGAGCAAGUGGGCAGUGCCCAGGGAGAGGACACAUCUCUUUUGGGCAGAUGGGUCCCAUUAGGGUUCUUUAAAGGCAGCAAUGGCACCAUUCUGCAGAGGUGUGCUCCUAGCAAGGAAGGCACUGUUUUAAAGCCCACCAGGCUGGUGCUCUCUGUGUUUAAGUCCACUCAGAGCAUGGAAGGAGGGCUGGAAGAAAACCAAUAAUUACUCUCAGAUAAAAUUAGUUUUACAAAGUGAUUUUCUUCUAGAAUCUUGGAUUCACACACGGGCUGCCUGUACUGUAGAUAUACCUGCAUUCUGAUAGCUCUAUUUCCAGUGUUCCUGCAUUUCUGACUGCUGUUGGCAAGAAGCUGUAGAUUGUUUCUCACACAGUUUUCUUAUGCAGUCUUUAGUGUCUCCUCCAAUCCUGGAUGUCCUUUAAACAUUGCACCUUUAAGGUACUGCUACUGCAGGGGCCACAGCAGGAGGCAUUACUGCACAAACCAGAUGAGUAUGGGGGAUUUAGGUGGAGUUACUCCAAUUAAACCACUGGAGAAUGCCCUGCUCUAGGAAUGGCAACUGCCCUAUUAAAGCAAGCUGGGUGUGUGCAUCCCAGCAGCUGUGCAGGAGCACAGCACAGUGGGGCAGCACUGCUGCCGUGUCUCCUCUCAUCAGCUGCUGGGGCUAAUUGCAGGGGCUCUCUGCAGACCUCUCAGCUUGUGUGGCCUGGAAAAUCCCAGGGACAAUCUUCAGGCAGUGCACAGGUGGGGUAACCCAUGGAGCCUGCAAUGCCAAAGCAGAGAGUUUGGGGAAUGGUGGCAGAAAAGCUUUUCUUCCAGGUGGAGUUAAUCCUCUGCAUGCUGACACCCCUGGGGGAGGGAGCAGGCAGGCAGGGUUGGAGAAAAUUUGGGAGACUGCUGUUUCAACUUUGAGCAGCUUAAACACAAACCCUACAGCACCAAGGGAUCGCAGCUCCAAAUGCCUGAAAAUGGGCUUCCCAAAGGCUGGCACACAGAGCAGAACUGCCUGACCCAACUGCAAGGAAACUCUGAGGAAGGGACCAUCUUGACCCGGCUGUCCCGCAGCAGGCAGCUUCCUUUCCCAGGGCUGUGGGGAUGCUAGUUAUUACCCUGGUGUUUUUAAAAAUAGGAUUGAUGUAGCUGCAAGUUUUCAUGAAAAAUAAAGAGAAAUAAAGGAAUGAAGAACGAAAGAGAAGAUAGAAAAAGGGGAAGAAAGGAAGGAAGGAAGAAAAGAAAGAAAAAGAAAUGAAGAAAGAAACGAAACAAAUGAAGAAAGAAGGAAAAAAAGGAAAGGAGGGAAGGGAAAGGAAGGGAAAGAAAGAAACGAAGAAAGGAAAGAAAAAGAAAGGAAGGAAAGAAAGAAAAAGAAAUGAAGAAAGAAGAGAAAGAAAUGAAAAGUGAAAAGAAAGAAGUGAAAAAGAAAUUUAAAAAAAAUGAAGAAAAGGACAGGAGAAAGAAGGAAGGAAGGGAGGAAGAAGAAGGGAAGAAAGGAAGGAAGGAAGUAUGAAAGGAAGAAACAAAGGAAGAAAAAAAUAGGAAAUAAAGUAGGAAAGAAAGGAAGAGGGAAAGAAAGUAAGGAAGAAGGGAAGAAGGAAAAAGAAAGAAAAGAAAGAAGGGAAAAAAAGAAAGAAAGAAGAAGGGAAGAAAGAAAGAAGGAGUGCGAAGGGCCGUGGCACAGCGGUGCCGUCGCGGAGCGGCGCGGAGCAGCGCGCAGCCCCAGCGCUGUGCCCUCGGCAGGUGGCGGCAGAGCGCGGCCGUGGGCCGGGGGGGGCCGGGGGUGUUCGGGCUGCGCUGCACCAGGGGGAUCCGAGGGGCCGUGCGAAGCGAUUGAAAAAUGAAGUCUUCUAGAGAAAGCAGGAGUUUUGAUGUAUGGCAUCUAUGCGUUUCUAUCCGUAGGUAUAGACGGAACAAAAAAAGGCGUAUUUAAGCCUAAAAAAGAGAGAGAGCGUCGGGGUGGGACGCGGGGCGGCGGAGGGAGGCCCGGCCCCGGGCAGCUGGGUUGGGGGGGGGGGGGGGUGAUGCGGGGGGCCCGGCCCAUCGCGGGGUGCUCCGAGCGGGGAGCGGAGCCGGGGAGCAGCGGUAGAGACGCGGGGUGCGCCCGGCUGCGGGCAUGUGGAGCUCGGGAGGUUCUUCUCCAUCUCCUCCUCGCUCAGCAUCGAGGGGAAAAAAAUAAUAAUAACAAUAAUAAAAAAAAGUCACAAUAAUAAAAGUCCUUCGGGACUCCAUUCCGCUAAAAAAAAAAAAAAAAAAAAAAAAAAAAAAAAAAAGCCAAGAAAACCGCAUCAUCUCCAGUCCAUUCGCCUCCUUCUCGAGUCCCUCGGAAAGCGAGAUUAAAGGGGAAAGUCGCAGCUGUAUAUUUGUGUUUUCAUUGCUAGAAGGGAAUUGAUUUCCUCGCAUUUAUUUUUGUAGUUGCAAUACACAAGGGCGGAUUUGCGUCACCCAAGCAACUUGCUGGUCGAGAUAAAGUUGCACAAAUAUUGAAAAGGGAAGUGCUCGCGCUCAUUAUGAAGUUUUUCUCCGGAAGAAAUAAGGAUUUCUGCUGUAUCCUAAAAUACUGAAGCCGCUUCUAUUUUAGGACAAAUCUCGCAGGCACAUCCGCUCAUUUAGUCCGAGUUGGAACCUCUCGAAAAAACAGGAGAUGACCCGGGCUGCAGCCGAGCCCCGCGCUUCCUGCAGCCUUCGGGCACCGCUGCGCACGGGCUGCGCGGCCGCGCAAAGCUGCGCGCCCCGGGGCGGAGGGGGGGGUGGGGGGGCAGCGGGCACUGCUGCGGGAUCCGGGAAUAAAGGGGAAAACAACCGAACGACAGCAGCGAUGCACCUUUGCUGCCGAUACAUACGCGGUCCCGGUGUCGGUUCAGCGAUGACUGAGUUUCUCCCCGGCGAGGGGACGGGGUGGGGGUGGCGGCGUUCGUUGCCGCUGGGAGCAGCGGUGGGGGGCACGGCCCGGCAGGGGCGCGGGACCGAAGGGUGGGCGCAGACUCGUUUGGGCCGGAGCGAGAGCGGAGGAGCCUCAACGGGGCCGGCAGCGCGGGGGGAUGCGGGGAAGUGGGAUACGGAAGAAGCUCAGAGCCGAGCCAGUCUCGCUUUCCCGUCGCUUUCGGACACGGCUCGGCAGUGGUUGUUAUCGUUUUCAUUUCAACGGCGCUGAUAAAACCCAGCGCAAACCGAAGCCGUGCCCGUGGGCGCGCUGUCACCCGGCCCGGGAACGCGCUCGGCUUCGGGCACAAAGCGCGGCUGCCCCGUACCUGCGGGAGGGGACCUUUCCGCCGUCAGGCCCUGCGAAGGAGCCGAAUUUUGAGCGCUAUUUUCAAAACUAAUAGUAUUUUUUUUUUUUUUUUUGAAACAAAACCGAAGCAAAUCCGCAACCGUAACGACUCCAGACCUGCUCACAGCGUCUCCGUUUGUGGAAACGACAAUAAAAAACGUUCUUUAUACGUA